rnacentral:lncRNA from 1 species
UGAAAUUUCCUUUUUGUUCUACUGUGAAAGUAAAAAUCUAAAAGGAAAAUAAUUAGCUAUUCAUACUCUUCUAACAUAGCCACGUGCUCACAUAAUAAAUGAAACAUUACCACAAAAAACUGCUAAAAUGACAUCCUUAUUGCAGGCCCAAUUUACUUAAUUUUAUGUCUUCCAACUGUUAAGACAAGGGCCACUCAUUCUAUAAGAUUAAUGGCUGAAAUAAAUUUAGAAUUUAAAAAUCAUGAGGAAAAUAUUUAUUCAUGCAAUGUAUGGCCAAUUUGUGGAAUUCGUUAGCCUGGGAGGUCAUAGAUUCAGUCAAGAUGAAUUAGAAAAGCUAGAUAAUUUUAUGACCAGUCAUAAUACUAUAGUUGUGAAUAUUAAGAAAAGGUACUAACAGAAUCUCAUGCUUCAGAGUACAAGCUGAUCAUCCUAGGAGCUUUGAAGGACUUCUCUUAUUUUUUUAUUGAUACUCUGAGCAAGUGGCUAGAUUCACAUUGAGGUUGUACCUCUUCUUGAAAGUAACUACUUUUGUGAACAGGAUACCACAUUUAGGUCACAUUGGGGUUUUGUUGUUGUUGUUGUCUUUGUGACAUCACCCAGGCUGGAGUGCAGUGGGGUGAUUAUGACUCAUUGCACCCUUGACCUCUAGGCUGAAGUGAUCUUCCUGCUUCAGCCUCCUAAAGUGCUGGGAUUACAGGCAUGAGCCACCAUGCCUGGCCUGUUUUGUUUUUGUUUUUGUUUUGUCUUUUUGUUAAUGAAAACCACAAGUGUCUGCUAAUACAAUACAAAAAGAACAAUGAAAUGACAUAUUUUUUUUAUCAAGUUUUACUGCAACUCCUGAUGCCAGAGAGAUGAACAAGAAGAUCCAGAGCAAAAACUACUUCAAAAUCUUCAUUAAUGAGUUUUAAGAAACCUUCCUAAAGCUUCUACUAUUAUAAGAAGUACUGGAAAAAACUUGAGGGAAGAGGAAAAAAAAUUAAAAGCAGCUUAAGAAAGGGCCAGACUUUGAAAUAUUGCAAUAUUAAAAUAUUUUAAAUCUCUGCUUUGAUUUUGUCCUCUGAAAAUACUUUAUACUGGAAGAUUCUGCUUUAACUUUGAGUUUACUGAAAGACUAAAUCACCCUUCAUUAGUGAGCACUGGUUUAAUUUUUCA